AACAACGCUGGCGGCGUGUCUUAAGCAUGCAAGUCGAGCGGCAAGGAAGUGCUUGCACUUCCCUAGAGCGGCGGACUGGUGAGUAACGCGUGGGUGAUCUACCUCGGGGUUGGGGAUAGCCAUUAGAAAUAGUGGGUAAUACCGAAUACGCUUCCAGGGCUACGGCCGUGGAAGGAAAGGCGCUACGGCGCCGACCUGAGAUGAGCCCGCGUCCCAUUAGCUAGUUGGUGAGGUAACGGCCCACCAAGGCGAUGAUGGGUAGGCGGCCUGAGAGGGUGUACGCCCACAUUGGGACUGAGAUACGGCCCAAACUCCUACGGGAGGCAGCAGCUAAGAAUAUUCCGCAAUGGACGAAAGUCUGACGGAGCGACGCCGCGUGGAUGAUGAAGGCCGGAAGGUUGUAAAAUCCUUUUGUCGGGGAAGAAUAAGCGUGGGAGGGAAUGCCCGCGUGAUGACAUGAACCGGCGAAUAAGCCCCGGCUAACUACGUG
rnacentral:rRNA from 1 species